GUAUGAAAAAGGCAAACUACAGGAAACUGUAGGACGCAAAGCGAGGAGUCUAAGACUGAAUACUAACUCAGUUAUGAUAGUCCAGCCGCCAUA
rnacentral:ncRNA from 2 species